rnacentral:rRNA from 1 species
UACUGGUCAAUGGGCGGGAGCCUGAACCAGCCAAGUCGUGUGAGGGAUUAAGGUCCUACGGGUCGUAAACCUCUUUUGCUGGGGAGCANNGCGGUGGACGUGUCCGCCGUUUGAGAGUACCCGGAGAUAAAGCAUCGGCUAACUCCGUGCCAGCAGCCGCGGUAAUACGGAGGAUGCGAGCGUUAUCCGGAUUUAUUGGGUUUAAAGGGUGCGUAGGCGGGCUUUUAAGUCAGCGGUAAAAAUUCGGGGCUCAACCCCGUCCGGCCGUUGAAACUGGGGGCCUUGAGUGGGCGAGAAGAAGGCGGAAUGCGUGGUGUAGCGGUGAAAUGCAUAGAUAUCACGCAGAACCCCGAUUGCGAAGGCAGCCUUCCGGCGCCCUACUGACGCUGAGGCACGAAAGUGCAGGGGAUCGAACAG